CAAAAUAAAUAGUGAUGAAAGAUAACAUAAGGUACAAAAACUCUACUGAGUAUGGAAACUGAAAGGUGCAAAGAACACUGGAGUUGAGAAAGAAAAAAAAUAUUUAGAAAGGUAUUAUCCACUGAAAGGUUCAACGUUAGUAACUCAGAAUUAAUCAAACUGUAGAAAGGAUUUGUUGGUUAUGUAAAAUGAUUUUUGAUGAUGUUCCUUACUUACAACAUAAAAUAACGGCUGCUAAUUGCUAGUAUUAUGUCAUUGAAAGUAAUUCGAUACGUGGAAAUAAGGUGCUCAUGAAGGUGGAGGAAGGCGAAGACUUCAAGGAACUGAUUAAAGAUGCAUAUUUACAAGGCAAACAUGGUUAGUACAACUCAUGAUAGAUAUUGAUGUAGAUUUUCUAUUACUAAUGACUAAGAUUAUUAUGAUUAGGAUUACCAAAUACUGAAAAUAGUUAGAUGAAUAUGUUGCACCAUAUUUACAAUUAUGUAGUACUAGAUUUCUUUCCCCCCAAUCUUUAAUAAUUAUAUACAGCUUUAGAGAUGUUUAUAGGUCUGCAACCGAUUGUUCUGGUUGGGGAAUUUAUUCAUAUAUUAUUAGAUACAAAUAUUUGAAGAGUGCAAUUUAGUAAAAAACAAAUCUAGUACUACAUAAUUGUAAACAAAUAUGCAUCGAACUGAUUUCUGAUUUCAGGCUUUGGUAAUCCUAAUCAUAAUAGUCCUAAAUAUUAUAAUUAAUAAUAGUAAAUAUACUUCAGUAUCUAUCAUUUCACUAUCAUUGUUUUUAAAAUUUAUCAUGUGGCCUAUCAUCAUUAUAAACCAUUAAGUAUAAACUAAAAUGUAAAAACUAAAACCUAACAAUCAGUGUUCACCUUAGGAUUGAAAAUUGACUUUGAUUUUGUAAAACUAAUUCUAAUUAAAAAAAAAACUAAAACAGCCAUAUAUCAUUAUAAACAUUUAUUUUGAAAAUAAGUUGAUGAAAAAUUUAAUGAAAAAUUGGAAACCCCGUAUAAAAGAAGUGCAUCAAGAAAAUCAUUAAGAAUCAGAGACAGGCAGACAGCAAAGCAUAAUAACCAGGAACAUGUUUAAUUUGAUAUAUUCUCCUUGUCUUGGCGUUGGUACCUGAUGAAUAGUACAUUUGGAAUUGCCCUGUGAACAGACCAACGCAUACUGAGAUAAAAACUAAUAGUGUGAGCUUCAGAUUCGACCUGAGUCAGUACCGGGAAAAAAUAGGAAACAAAACACACAUGAAGGCAUG
rnacentral:lncRNA from 1 species